AAAGUCGUAACAAGGUUUCCGUAGGUGAACCUGCGGAAGGAUCAUUCACACUUAAAGGAGUCUGGGCAGUCAAAUGCUUCAUUCUCUGAUUCUCCAAUCUAAACGCAAUAUGCUACUGCUCCAAUUUUAAGACUUCCGUUCUCUUCUUCGGGGGAGAAUGUAGGAGUAGUGUUUGGUGAUGUUGAUGGUCUUCGGGCUGUUUUCAUUCCAAGCAUGCCAAAUCAACUGAUUUUAUCAACCUACCCCUCGUCGUCGCUUGUGGAGCAUGCUCUGCUUGUGAUUGUCAUUCUGUACUAAGUCUGCUUCUCGUCGACCUAAGCACUCGAUGUGGGAGCAAGUUUGACCAAUACGAAACACUACACUAUGUUGUAAUAAAUACAACUCUUUGCAAUGGAUAUCUUGGUUCUC
rnacentral:misc_RNA from 1 species